GUCCUGAGCAGGACGUUAAACUGCUCACCGCCAGACACCGCAUCACCCGAUCACUGAUGGCUCAACGGUAUCUGGCGGAACAAGUAAAUAAUGUAGCUGCCUUUUGAGCGGGUUUGCUGCAGACCGAAACGGAGGUUUCCGUUUGGACUGUGGUUUUUUCACUAUGCCCAAAGCAACUGCACC
ncrna:unclassified sequences DTF2800 RNA